GCGUUAGAUUAGCUAGUUGGUAGGGUAAAAGGCCUACCAAGGCGACGAUCUAUAGCUGGUCUGAGAGGACGAUCAGCCACACUGGGACUGAGACACGGCCCAGAUCCUACGGGAGGCAGCAGUGGGGAAUAUUGGACAAUGGGCGCAAGCCUGAUCCAGCAAUACCGCGUGUGUGAAGAAGGCCUUAGGGUGUAAAGCACUUUCAAUUGGGAGGAAAACCUGUCGGUCAAUACCCGGCAGCUUGACAUACCUUUAGAAGAAGCACCGGCUAACUCCGUGCCAGCAGCCGCGGUAAUACGGAGGGUGCAAGCGUUAAUCGGAAUUACUGGGCGUAAAGCGUGCGUAGGCGGUUCGUUAAGUCAGAUGUGAAAGCCCCGGGCUUAACCUGGGAACUGCAUUUGAAACUGGCGGACUUGAGUUGAGUAGAGGGGAGUGGAAUUCAGGUGUAGCGGUGAAAUGCGUAGAUAUCUGAAGGAACACCAGUGGCGAAG
rnacentral:rRNA from 1 species